AGCGAAUCGCAUUAGCCUUUGUGCUGGCGAUGGUACAUUCAAAUUUCUGCCCUAUCAAUUUGAUGGUAGGAUAGAGGCCUACCAUGGUUUUUACGGGUGACGGAGAAUUAGGGUUCGAUUCCGGAGAGGGAGCCUGAGAGAUGGCUACCACUUCUAAGGAAGGCAGCAGGCGCGCAAAAUUACCCAAUCCUGAUACAGGGAGGUAGUGACAAGAAAUAACAAUACAGGUCCCAAUACGGGCCUUGUAAUUGGAAUGAGUACAAUUUAAACCCCUUAAUGAGUAACAAUUGGAGGGCAAGUCUGGUGCCAGCAGCCGCGGUAAUUCCAGCUCCAAUAGCAUAUAUUAAAAUUUGUUGCAGUUAAAAAAGCUCGUAGUUGGAUCUCGGAACAGGGAAUAACUGGUCUGCCGGUUGGUAUGUACUGUUGUUCCCGUUCUCUACUGAUGGAAACUUAUCUCUACUCUUAAAUGAGCGGAGAGUAGAUCAGUAGAAUGAAUGUUGUUUUCGAACUCAUUCAUUCAAUUACUU
rnacentral:rRNA from 1 species